GGAGCCAUAGGGAGGGAUUCCAAUCCAACCUAAGGAAAAGAAACAUGCUAUGGGAGUCUUCGAGAUUGGCGACCGUCCUAAUGACUUA
rnacentral:pre_miRNA from 1 species